rnacentral:rRNA from 1 species
CGCGGCCUAUCAGCUUGUUGGAGAGGUAACGGCUCACCAAGGCAUCGACGGGUAGCUGGUCUGAGAGGAUGAUCAGCCACACUGGGACUGAGACACGGCCCAGACUCCUACGGGAGGCAGCAGUGGGGAAUCUUGCACAAUGGGCGAAAGCCUGAUGCAGCAACGCCGCGUGCGGGAAGAAGGCCCUAGGGUUGUAAACCGCUUUCAGUAGGGAAGAAAAUGACGGUACCUACAGAAGAAGGUGCGGCCAACUACGUGCCAGCAGCCGCGGUGACACGUAGGCACCAAGCGUUAUCCGGAUUUAUUGGGCGUAAAGAGCUCAUAGGCGGUUUGGUAAGUCGGGUGUGAAAACUCUGGGCUCAACCCAGAGAGGCCACCCGAUACUGCUAUGACUAGAGUACGGUAGGGGAGCGGGGAAUUCAUGGUGUAGCGGUGAAAUGCGCAGAUAUCAUGAGGAACACCAGCGGCGAAGGCGCCGCUCUGGGCCGUAACUGACGCUGAGGAGCGAAAGCAUGGGUAGCAAACAGGAUUAGAUACCCUGGUAGUCCAUGCCGUAAACGUUGGGCACUAGGUGUGGGUCUCAACCAACGAGAUCCGCGCCGUCGCUAACGCAUUAAGUGCCCCGCCUGGGGAGUACGG